AUUGAACGCUGGCGGCAGGCUUAACACAUGCAAGUCGAGCGAGCGGCGGACGUGUGAAUAAUGUCUGGGAAACUGCCUGAUGGAGGGGGAAAACUCCUGGAAACGGUAGCUAAUACCGCAUACCAUCAGAUGUGAACAGAUGUGAUUAGCUAGUAGGUGGGGUAAUGGCUAACCUAGGCGACGAUCCCCAGCUGGUCUGAGAGGGUGACCAGCCACACGGGAACUGAGACACGGUCCAGAGUCCUACGGGAGGCAGCAGUGGGGAAUAUUGCACAAUGGGCGCAAGCCUGAUGCAGCCAUGCCGCGUGUGUGAAGAAGGCCUUCGGGUUGUAAAGCACUUUCAGCGAGGAGGCGUUACUCGCAGAAGAAGCACCGGCUAACUCCGUGCCAGCAGCCGCGGUAAUUC
rnacentral:rRNA from 1 species